ACAAAAGUAUUUCAUUCCUCACUCGUCGGGACAGAGCUGUAUAGGCUACAAUGACCACAUCACUGAAGUCCAGUUCUUGGAGCUCAAACCUUCGUCUAUGGACCUCCUCAUGUCUCAGGCUCUCCAGCUGGACCAGCACAUAUUCAGAAACAGAUCCAUAAAAUUCAGCAAUGGACGGAUUUAACCUUUCAUGAUUAAUCGGGCACCUCUGAGGGCCACUAAUGAAGAAAAGUGAAGACUUCUUAAGUCUGCAGAAGGUUUGAAAUGAUGUAAACUGCAUUCCAAGGAGUGGAAAUUCUGGAUGAUUACUGUUCAUUACAUUUCUGUAUGCAGCAUUUAAAUCAGUCAAGUGGUUGGAAAAUCAAUUCCAGCUGAAAUUAAGAGUUUGCCUGGAUGUAAAUCUGGGGUUUACUAUUAUUUUCUAUGUAUAAGACAACUGCUUGGUGUAAUGCAAAUGUACAAAAUGUGUUAAAGUUCUUAUAGAAGUAGUUGCAUGGUGUAUAUGCCUACUAAUAAAUAAAUAAAUCUAAGAAUAAUUUAUUUUGUGAAGAAGCAAAAAUGGUUGAAUCGGUUGUUCUUUUGUUGUCUAUGGUGGACGUCUGACAAACAUGCUCAAACUUCAGUGUGCAUUGAAAUCUAUUUGCUUUUGUAAUAAAACAAAUUUCAUCAGUGCAAUACAUUUUAAUUUACAAUAAAAUAUCAGUUACUUUUUCGAAUAAGUA